CGGAGGAAGGUGGGGACGACGUCAAAUCAUCAUGCCCCUUAUGUCUUGGGCUUCACGCAUGCUACAAUGGCCGGUACAAAGGGUUGCGAUACUGUGAGGUGGAGCUAAUCCCAAAAAGCCGGUCUCAGUUCGGAUUGGGGUCUGCAACUCGACCCCAUGAAGUCGGA
rnacentral:rRNA from 1 species